ensembl:rRNA Gm26280 predicted gene, 26280
CCACAGUACCCCAGAAGUGCCUGAUCUUGUCUGAUCUCAGAAGCUAAGCAAGGCUGGGCCUGUUUUGUACUUGGAUGGGACAUGUCUCCUGUGCUCAAGUG